AUGUUAGUGACGUCAGGGCGCAGCCGCCACAAAGAAGCGUUUUGGAUGCCUUCACGUGUUCGCUGUAGCUUGGGUCUGAAAGUCGCCAGGCUGCAUCCGAGCCCGGGGCUUGGAAGCAAUGUGACGUUCUCCAGCUCUUUCUUGCUCGCGAAGCGCCUGGAAGGGGGGCGUGGCUUAUCUCCGUCACGUGUCUCCGUAAAGACACUUAACGUUUCCGCCAUGGACGCGCGUCUGGAUGACUGCGGCUUCAGGCGGACCAGCAGCCGGUCUGAUGACCCGCUGUGUCGAGACCGCUUGGCUGGAGGACCAGCCCCGGUCCACCGCGAAGGCUGCAGGGAUGCGUCUCAAGCGCCGAGUCACGCAGACCACACAAACCUGGUUGAAAGUAAAGCUUUAAUAGCAGGUCUCACGAUGCUCCGGUGUUUCCUAUGCUGA
ensembl:lncRNA